AAGUCGAGGGGCAGCAUGAACUUAGCUUGCUAAGUUUGAUGGCGACCGGCGCACGGGUGAGUAACACGUAUCCAACCUGCCGAUGACUCGGGGAUAGCCUUUCGAAAGAAAGAUUAAUACCCGAUGGCAUAGUUCUUCCGCAUGGUAGAACUAUUAAAGAAUUUCGGUCAUCGAUGGGGAUGCGUUCCAUUAGGUUGUUGGCGGGGUAACGGCCCACCAAGCCUUCGAUGGAUAGGGGUUCUGAGAGGAAGGUCCCCCACAUUGGAACUGAGACACGGUCCAAACUCCUACGGGAGGCAGCAGUGAGGAAUAUUGGUCAAUGGACGAGAGUCUGAACCAGCCAAGUAGCGUGAAGGAUGACUGCCCUAUGGGUUGUAAACUUCUUUUAUACGGGAAUAAAGUGAGGCACGUGUGCCUUUUUGUAUGUACCGUAUGAAUAAGGAUCGGCUAACUCCGUGCCAGCAGCCGCGGUAAUACGGAGGAUCCGAGCGUUAUCCGGAUUUAUUGGGUUUAAAGGGAGCGUAGGCGGACGCUUAAGUCAGUUGUGAAAGUUUGCGGCUCAACCGUAAAAUUGCAGUUGAUACUGGGUGUCUUGAGUACAGUAGAGGCAGGCGGAAUUCGUGGUGUAGCGGUGAAAUGCUUAGAUAUCACGAAGAACUCCGAUUGCGAAGGCAGCCUGCUGGACUGUAACUGACGCUGAUGCUCGAAAGUGUGGGUAUCAAACAGGAUUAGAUACCCUGGUAGUCCACACAGUAAACGAUGAAUACUCGCUGUUUGCGAUAUACAGUAAGCGGCCAAGCGAAAGCGUUAAGUAUUCCACCUGGGGAGUACGCCGGCAACGGUGAAACUCAAAGGAAUUGACGGGGGCCCGCACAAGCGGAGGAACAUGUGGUUUAAUUCGAUGAUACGCGAGGAAACCUUACCCGGGCUUGAAUCGC
rnacentral:rRNA from 1 species